AAGCUCCAGGCAACUAUAGCAAAGGGUAUACGUACGCCAGUACUCCCAACCCUUCCCGCUUAGCCCUACAUGUCGAAUGGGGUCAUGUCGAUGUGCAUUCUCUCCUUCAUACCUUCCUUCACCAGCGGCUUUUCCGCUGGCGGUGGAGGCGUUCGGCAGGUUUCCGCCCUGUUCCAAGUCUAGUGUCCAGUCGAGAGGUGACGGCUCGAGCUGUUGAAGCGAAUCUGUCCCCGAAUCUUCAGAUAUUGCAUAGCUAUCCGCACCACGUCGUCGCCCUGAUGCUGCGCGGUAUGGUCGGUCCAUUGAGCGUUUGCUUGGUGUCCAAUGUUAUGACAUUGGCUGUGUAGAGAUGUCCGUGGGAGAAGUACGGGAAAUGAGGUGUAUCUAUAGACUUCUCUAUACAGGCAAAGAAGGCAACGUGCAUCUAAUAGAAUAAUCCAGUGUCGUUGAGCAGUUGAAGCAAGUUGAACCCGGAAGCAGCUGCGGCUUCACCUGUUUUCACCGCCUUUGCUGGUCUGCCGGCAGAAUCUCCAGUUGAUACUUGAUAGCUUCAAGCUCUCCAGCGAAGGAAGGACUCAAAGAAUCCCAUAUAUAUAAACCAUGCCACCCUACCCUCCACAACGCCAAACAGCCCGAUAAUUAUCAAAUAAGGAAAAACAAACAAAGGCAACAAUGCCACCAGUUCGUGUCCCCUACCUACCCCCUCUUAAAAAUUAGAAAUAAAAAUAAAAAAAACCCCAGCUAACCAGACCCCAACCCUUCCCAAACGCACACAAGAAACAGCGCAGCUUCACCAACCCAUCCCCCAAAACGGAAUCCGCCCGCAACGCCCUGACCUCCUUCACCUGCACGCUCUGCAGCAAAUCCUACUCGCGCCACCCGGAAUAUGAAGCGCACAUCGGCUCCUACGACCACCAGCACCGCAAGCGCCUGCGGGAUCUGAAGCAGCUGUCGCGCGAUCCGCAGGCGGCGGAGAGGGCGCGUCGGGAGGAGAGGAGGCG
rnacentral:sRNA from 2 species